UCUCCAGUAAUAAAAAUUCACUGCAAUUAUCACAAAUUUCAAAACAAGAAUAUGAAUCCUGCAACUCACUAAAAUCACAAAACCAAUAUUUAUCAUCAAGACAGAACAUGUAAGCCAGGUAAUUGAAACACAGAUGCUUAAAACUUGGGUUCUGUAAGAACACACAAUACUCUAAGAAGAUGAAUUAUUUUGAUUUUUCAACAAUGAGUGUUCGAAAUAGCUUAUCUCUAUUUGCAUUCAGAUAUUGAACAAGACGAACUAUUCAAACGUGAGAUUCAAAUAUAGCAGAGAACAUCAACCUCAAAGAAAAUUCUAUAAUCAAAAGCUUUCGUUUUCUACAUUGUGACAAUUCACCACCAUCAAAUCCAAAGUUUAUAACGAAUUUCAGCAUAAUCCACAUUCAUCAUCUACGGAAAGAAAAUUAACGAUCUAAU